GAAGGUACUCAAAGCUCAAAUUCUGGGUAUAAAAGCCCCUAGGGGUGUGUGUAUAUUUGCGUAUACACACAAGCAUGUGUUUCAUGUAUACGUGCACCUGAAGCAAUGUGUUCAUAUGUGCAAACACACCACAUCCACAGCUUUUCUUAAUCACUCAAAGUUCUGAAAGGUCUCCUGCCACAACAAUGCAUUGAAAAAUAUGGUAUUUGCCUGUGGAGCAUCAACCAACGGCCUGUUUUUCUGAGCUGGACAUCUCAUCAAAUGAUAAGUGACUCAGCCACCCAGGAGAGUGAGAGCUGUCAUUCCUGCUGUGUUCUCUGUCUCUGGAAAGCACAAAGCGGAGAGGAGACAACUCACGCUGCCUAAUGCUGAGGCUGGUCCAGCACUGCAGAUGUGAAGGUUAAGCUGAAUAUCUGUGAGCAGAGAAGCCUCUGUGAGGAGGAAGGAAAAUCUAUUUAAAAGCUGAAAUGGAAAAACCCAGCAGCAAUCAAUCAGAAUAGAACUAAUAUUCUUUGGUGAAUGAUGAAAAAUCCAGGUUCUAGGUAGUAAUGACUGAGCAAAAAGACUGAGUAAAAGGACAGCCUGGAGAGAAUUCUAAUGAAAUCUCUUCAACAAGGCUCAGCACUCUUGUUAGAAAGGCAGGGUGACUCACAUGCUGAAGAUUUUAAGCAGUGUUUGAAGAAGGAGAGAACCGGAUAAUGCGGAGAAUUGUCAAGGUUAUAGUGACAAGUACGACGACUUUGAAUCUGCGGAGAACGAGUCAAACUGCUGUGGGUUGCUGACUGUUUUGCUGGGCAAUGUGAGGUAGGAUCCCUGCCUUUGAUGAAUACCUUUCAUCCACGAAUUUCAAAAUGUUCCAUGGGUACUCAGCCACAGGGAACAGAAGGAAAUGCACAGAACUAAGAGGAAAACUUUCAGAGAAGACUUCUAUCAUCAGCUGAAAUCAAGGACCAUGAUAUAGUAGUGUUGAAAACUAAUGUGUCAUGUCUGCAGCAAAUUUGUUUGCAUUUCUUGACCUUACUCUGCUGACUAAUUAGGCUUAAUGUGUUAAAUGCACUCUGAAUGAGGUACUAAAUGCACUGAAGAGUAUGUUUUAGCACUUAAAAGGAAUGGAAAAAAUCCUGUUAAGGUGAUUUGGACUAAGUCCCAGGGUGACAUGCAUAAUGCUGGCAGAAAGUCCACUAUGCUGAAUUAUGUUUCCUGCAUACACAGGCAUGCUGAUAUUUUUUGUAAACCUAGUGUGUAACCAAAUCAGCAAGACAUUACCUAGAGAAAGAUCCUACUUGCUUGCUUCACAGUAUUACUAUCUUUUCAUAAUUGAAAUCCCAUCUACUAAACUAUAUUAAUAAAUUGAAUCAUGCUUAGCAGGAUUCCUAAGGGGAGAAACAUUUAGAUAAUAUUCACCAGACACUUAUUUAUUUAGCUAAGUGUCUCCCUUUUAUUGGCUUAUAUCCACGUGCCUUCUAAUGUUCAGAGUAUUAGUAAUUUCUUUUGCUUUUAAAAUUUGAUUAGCUCAUACCAUUUAAAAUUUCUAUAAUCAAAUAAAAUACCUGUAGUUCAAAA